GCUGCCUCUGCUGCACCUGUGACGUUUGCCGCCUGCCGUGCAAUGCCAGUGCGCACUGGGCAUCAAAAGCGCAGAUAGAGGCAAAACAAUGUCACAAAAAAGGACAUAUCCUUCAGGUGCAGAAAAAAGGAAGAAGAAGAAAGUGGAAGAGGAGAAAAAAUGCCAUGAUAAAGGUAUGUUUGCAUGACUUGGUAAUAAAAAGUUUAUCAAAGAGAUUUGUAGCUGUAAUUAGCUUUAGCUAGGUGACGUUAGCUAGCUAGCGCGGUGCUAGCAAUAUGUUUUUAGCAUCAGGUUACUAGUGAGAUAUGUUGUUUGCACAAAUUGUUUGCAGCAGAGCAAGGUAAUUUAUGUGAGUAAAAUAAACAUUAUUUUUUACAUCAACUCAUAAGUUAUGUGAAACUUCCCCAGGAGCAUUGUUAAAAUACUUUGGAGGCACAGAAUCAGCCCAGAGCCAGUCCACAUCCUCAGGCUCAACUGUGAGUGAUGAAUCAGGUCCAUCUCCAUCCUCUACAGUGCUCUCUCACACACCUCCAUCCUCUGUGCUCACUGUCCCCUCCAUGUCUGAAACCACAGCUGAUGUAUCUACAACUUCCACCACAACGUCCCCUUCACACCAUGGACCAUCAUCAGCUCCGCCAGUUGACCCAGCUGAG